AGUGUGAUUGCUGGAUCAUAUGGUAAGAGUAUGUUUAGUUUUGUAAGAAACUGUCAAACUGUCUUCCAAAAUGGCUGUACCAUUUUAAAUUCCCACUAGCAAU
rnacentral:pre_miRNA from 1 species